UACGUAGGGUGCAAGCGUUGUCCGGAUUUAUUGGGCGUAAAGAGCGUGUAGGCGGCCAUACAGGUCAGCUGUGAAAACUCGAGGCUCAACCUCGAGACGCCGAUGGAAACCAUCUGACUAGAGUCCGGAAGAGGAGAGUGGAAUUCCUGGUGUAGCGGUGAAAUGCGCAGAUAUCAGGAAGAACACCCGUGGCUAAGGCGGCUCUCUAGUACGUGACUGACGCUGAGACGCGAAAGCGUGGGGAGCGAACAGG
rnacentral:rRNA from 1 species